UUGCCUUUUAAACAUUAGUGUUUAAAGGGAGGUGGUCGGUUUGGUCCACUCUCCUCCUCCUUCUCUUGGGCAUUUAGAUUCAUUUGUUUGCUCUCAACCCCUCAUCUAAAUUUGGAUCCAGCUCUGACCUUUCCCUCAAGCUUUAGACCAGCCUACGGAGCUGCCUUCUGGGCAUCUCCACCGGAGAGUCUCAAACCACCUCACAGGAAGCCUGUCUGAAAAGGGACUCAUCCAUCACCUGCUCCUCCACAAGACGCUGCUCCUUCCACAUUCUGAUGUCAGUUCUGCCUGCUUGCCAAGGUCACAAAGCUGAUGCUCCCUGGGACCUUUUCCCUCCACACCUUCUAUCAAUUACCGGAUCCUGCUGAACAUUCCUCAUCCUUUAUGCACAACUGCUCAAAUUCAGCCCUUAUCUCCUCUUGCCUGGAUGCUGACAGUAGUCUCUCAGCUGGUCAUCCUGCCUUCAGCCCGGUCUCCUUCAUCUUCAUCUCAGUGAAGCUGACACAGAGCUCUACCUAACACAUAAAUAUGUCCCUGUUGCUACCUGGAUUCUAGCCCCCCUUUUUAUCCCCCAAUUUUAUUUAUCUAUUUAUUUAUUAUUGACUAGGCAUGUGAGUGGGGGGAGGGGAAAGGGAGAGAGAGGAUCUCAAACAGACUCCACAUUGAGUGCAGAGCCCAACGUGGGCCUCAAUCUCAUGACCCUGAGAUCAUGACCUGAGCCAAAAUGAAGAAUUGGUUGCUCAACCAACUGAGUCAACCACACCCCAAACCUAUUUUUAGUGAUUUCUUAUCAUCAACAUAAUAACAUUCAAGCUCUGUAGCUUAGCAUAUAAAGACUUUCAUAAACAGCUUUUAUGUUUCAGUUAUAUCAAACCAUUGUUUAAUAUAUUAUACCACUUUAUUAUAGAAUUAUUAAAGGAUACAUUUUCAAGUGGAUAAGCAGGAUUCUCAUACCAAUAUAAAAUGAACACAUGUCAAAGAGUUUAUUUUGUUCACUAUUUAAUCUGAGAAACAGUCAUAGGGUACAACUGAUUAUAAGGAAGAUCCCAGAAACAGACAAAUAUGGAGACAAUAAGGAAUACUAAUAUGAAUUUGUUUAACAGAUGCAAACCUGUGUUUUGUGUGUGUGUGUGUGUGUGUGUGUGUGUGUGUGUGUGUGUGUGUGGCAGUAAGGAAAUCCAUUGUCCUUCCAUUGGGAAAAACUCAUUUUCAUGUCAACAGUCAUUUGCAUGGAAAUCAUUGCAGUAUAUGAACUAGCACCCCACAGUUCCUCCCUAAUAUUAACAUCUUACAUUAGGAUGGUACAUUUGUUUCAAUUAAUGGACCAGCAUGGAUCUCCUGGUAUUAACAAAAGUCCAUUCUUUAUUCAGAUUUCCUUAGCUUUUAUCUAACAUCCUUUUUCUAUUAGAAGAAUCUGGUAUACGUGUCACACUUAGUCACCAGGUCACCUUAGGCUCCCCUUGGCUGUGGCUGUGACAGUUUCUCAGACUUUGUCUUUGAUUAAUUAGACAGUUUUGAGGACCGGUCAAGUAUAUUGUAGGAUGCACAUCUACUGGAAUUUGUGUGAUUUUUUUCUUUUCUUUAUUUAUUCAUGAGAGACAGAGAGAGAGAGGCAGAGACACAGGCAGAGGGAAAAGCAGGCUCCAUGCAGGGAGCCCAACAUGGGACUCAAUCCCAGUCUCCAAGAUCACACCCUGGCUGAAGGCAGCACUAAACCGCUGAGCCACCCCGGCUGCCCUGUGUGAUGUUUUUCUUAUGACUAGAGUUCUAGGCUCUUAGGAGGAAGACCACAGAAGUAAAGUACCUUUCUCAUCACAUUAUAUCAUGAAUCAAUGCUGGCAAUAUGACUCACUCCUUUGAUGUUGACCUUAAUCAACUGCCUUAGGUAGUACCUGUCAGAUUUUUCUACUGUAAAGCUGCUCUUUUUUCCUUCUUCCAUACUUUGCUCUUUGGAAGGAUCUCACAAUGUGCAGCUCUCACUUAAGGAAUGGGAAGUUAUACUAGUCCUCCUGUAGGGUAAAAUAACUACAUAACUCACUUGAAGUUAUUCUGCAUAGAAGAUUUAUCAAAGAUUUGUCCCUUCUUUCUUAUUUAUCAACUUACUCAUCCUUUAUAAAUAUCAAUGUGUUGUCAUUUGUUAAUUGUUGUUUCCAGCACUUUCUUAUUUUCUGGCACUACAGACUUCUCCAGGCUCAUCCUGUUUAUUUCCUGCCCCAGUCCUAGAAUCAGCCAUUCUAUUCUAUUCCAUUCUAUUCUAUUCUAUUCUAUUCUAUUCUAUUCUAUUCUACUCUACUCUAUUUCCUUUGAUUGGAACCCAAGGUCUGGGUACUAGGUGCACUCACUGAUACUGUGGUGUCAUUGCUUCUAACUUUUUUUUUUUAGCAUAUAAUAGAAAACUUAGCAUUUAUUCAUUAAAGCAUACAGGAAAUCUAUGUAUUUCAAAU
rnacentral:lncRNA from 1 species